rnacentral:rRNA from 1 species
GGGGAAUUUUCCGCAAUGGGCGAAAGCCUGACGGAGCAAUACCGCGUGAGGGAGGAAUGCCUUUGGGUUGUAAACCUCUUUUCUCAGGGAAGAAGAUCUGACGGUACCUGAGGAAUAAGUAUCGGCUAACUCCGUGCCAGCAGCCGCGGUAAUACGGAGGAUGCAAGCGUUAUCCGGAAUCAUUGGGCGUAAAGCGUCCGCAGGUGGUUUCCAAAGUCUGCUGUUAAAGACUGGAGCUCAACUCCGGAACGGCGGUGGAAACUUGGAAACUAGAGUUCGGUAGGGGUAGCAGGAAUUCCCAGUGUAGCGGUGAAAUGCGUAGGUAUUGGGAAGAACAUCGGUGGCGAAGGCGUGCUACUGGACCGUAACUGACACUCAGGGACGAAAGCUAGGGGAGCGAAAGGGAUUAGAUACCCCUGUAGUCCUAGCUGUAAACGAUGGAAACUAGGUGUGGCUUG